GCGCGGGUGGCGGAAUUGGCAGACGCGCUAGAUUCAGGUUCUAGUGGUUAACACCGUGGGGGUUCAACUCCCCCCUCGCGCACCA
rnacentral:tRNA from 1 species